AUGCUGGAGGUAUCAGAAGUGCGAAUGCUGACAUAAGUAACGAUAAAGCGGGUGAAAAGCCCGCUCGCCGGAAGACCAAGGGUUCCUGUCCAACGUUAAUCGGGGCAGGGUGAGUCGACCCCUAAGGCGAGGCCGAAAGGCGUAGUCGAUGGGAAACAGGUUAAUAUUCCUGUACUUGGUGUUACUGCGAAGGGGGGACGGAGAAGGCUAUGUUGGCCGGGCGACGGUUGUCCCGGUUUAAGCGUGUAGGCUGGUUUUCCAGGCAAAUCCGGAAAACUAAGGCUGAGGCGUGAUGACGAGGCACUACGGUGCUGAAGCAACAAAUGCCCUGCUUCCAGGAAAAGCCUCUAAGCAUCAGGUAACAUCAAAUCGUACCCCAAACCGACACAGGUGGUCAGGUAGAGAAUACCAAGGCGCUUGAGAGAACUCGGGUGAAGGAACUAGGCAAAAUGGUGCCGUAACUUCGGGAGAAGGCACGCUGAUAUGUAGGUGAAGUCCCUCGCGGAUGGAGCUGAAAUCAGUCGAAGAUACCAGCUGGCUGCAACUGUUUAUUAAAAACACAGCACUGUGCAAACACGAAAGUGGACGUAUACGGUGUGACGCCUGCCCGGUGCCGGAAGGUUAAUUGAUGGGGUCAGCGCAAGCGAAGCUCUUGAUCGAAGCCCCGGUAAACGGCGGCCGUAACUAUAACGGUCCUAAGGUAGCGAAAUUCCUUGUCGGGUAAGUUCCGACCUGCACGAAUGGCGUAAUGAUGGCCAGGCUGUCUCCACCCGAGACUCAGUGAAAUUGAACUCGCUGUGAAGAUGCAGUGUACCCGCGGCAAGACGGAAAGACCCCGUGAACCUUUACUAUAGCUUGACACUGAACAUUGAGCCUUGAUGUGUAGGAUAGGUGGGAGGCUUUGAAGUGUGGACGCCAGUCUGCAUGGAGCCGACCUUGAAAUACCACCCUUUAAUGUUUGAUGUUCUAACGUUGACCCGUAAUCCGGGUUGCGGACAGUGUCUGGUGGGUAGUUUGACUGGGGCGGUCUCCUCCUAAAGAGUAACGGAGGAGCACGAAGGUUGGCUAAUCCUGGUCGGACAUCAGGAGGUUAGUGCAAUGGCAUAAGCCAGCUUGACUGCGAGCGUGACGGCGCGAGCAGGUGCGAAAGCAGGUCAUAGUGAUCCGGUGGUUCUGAAUGGAAGGGCCAUCGCUCAACGGAUAAAAGGUACUCCGGGGAUAACAGGCUGAUACCGCCCAAGAGUUCAUAUCGACGGCGGUGUUUGGCACCUCGAUGUCGGCUCAUCACAUCCUGGGGCUGAAGUAGGUCCCAAGGGUAUGGCUGUUCGCCAUUUAAAGUGGUACGCGAGCUGGGUUUAGAACGUCGUGAGACAGUUCGGUCCCUAUCUGCCGUGGGCGCUGGAGAACUGAGGGGGGCUGCUCCUAGUACGAGAGGACCGGAGUGGACGCAUCACUGGUGUUCGGGUUGUCAUGCCAAUGGCACUGCCCGGUAGCUAAAUGCGGAAGAGAUAAGUGCUGAAAGCAUCUAAGCACGAAACUUGCCCCGAGAUGAGUUCUCCCUGACUCCUUGA
rnacentral:rRNA from 1 species